AUUGAACGCUGGCGGCAGGCCUAACACAUGCAAGUCGAGCGGCAGCACGGGUACUUGUACCUGGUGGCGAGCGGCGGACGGGUGAGUAAUGCCUAGGAAUCUGCCUGGUAGUGGGGGAUAACGCUCGGAAACGGACGCUAAUACCGCAUACGUCCUACGGGAGAAAGCAGGGGACCUUCGGGCCUUGCGCUAUCAGAUGAGCCUAGGUCGGAUUAGCUAGUUGGUGAGGAAUGGCUCACCAAGGCGACGAUCCGUAACUGGUCUGAGAGGAUGAUCAGUCACACUGGAACUGAGACACGGUCCAGACUCCUACGGGAGGCAGCAGUGGGGAAUCUUGCGCAAUGGGCGAAAGCCUGACGCAGCGACGCCGCGUGAGGGAUGACGGCCU
rnacentral:rRNA from 1 species